rnacentral:ncRNA from 1 species
UUACUUGAUUAGAUAAUUAGCAUCCAUUAUUACUUCCAAUGGUUCGGCAAACGGAAGUCCGUUAAAUUCGGACACGGUCCCGCCGCUGUGACUCUUUUCCGAAAGGAAAACAACCGGGCAAGAAUGCCACUGUCUGCCAAAAGGCUUACGGGAAGGCGCUCGUGUUAAGAGAAGUCAGAAGACGUGCCAACCAUGACAUAGCGAG